rnacentral:lncRNA from 1 species
AGGUAAAGCAAUCGAGCUUAAGAUAAAUUAAAGGUUUUAGAUUCAUAUUUUCAUUGUUAAUUGUGUAAGGAAAAAAGUCACCAUAAAUUAGAAAACAAUAUAAACGGAUAAAGGGAAAAGGUGACGGUUAGAUUCUCGAGCAUUUUCUCCGUCCAAAAGGUGUUUGGUACGAGACAAUUGGCAACUUUGCUUUGAUGUCCAGCUCAAUCGCCAAACAACCACACUAAUCGACACGUAAAAAAGGUGGCGCGCUUUGGAAUAUGCAAUACAAAGCAUGGCACGUUGUUGGCUCCAUUACUUCGAAUCCGGAAAACUGCACGUUGGUCCAACCCAGGACGCGGACGCGGACCUACCCGACCCAGGACGCGGACGCGGACCUACCCGACCCAUUACGCGUCCAAAUUCUAGUACGUAGACGGUGCAUGUGUACUUUGAUUCGCAUCACUUCUAAACGUAGACUGGAGACCUUGAUGCGAUGAUGGUUCAAAUUUACUGUUGACUAGGUAGGCUGUCGGAGAUUAUUGAUUAUGUGUAUCUUGAAUUAUUCAAUAAAAAAUCAUCACGUUAUUUAUUGUUGGAAAAUAAUAUAGUGUUAUCCGUUGAAACUUUUGAAUGAAAAAAAAAUUAUUAUUUAUUAUGUUUCAUCAGCUGAUAAUUUUUAAUAUUUUAAAUAAAAAAAAAUUUUCUUAAAUGAUGUGAUGGUUUUUUUACUGAAUGAUCUCAGUAUUAUAAUUAAUAAUUUUUCGUUGAUGAGUGCACAAGAACAUACGAA